UGGGGUGGUGGUGAUGUUGAGGUCGGAACUCUGGAGGAACUCGCGGAGGCAGGCGAUGAGUUUGAAUUCAGAGACCAUGGGUGGAAGUUUACCAAACCAAAACCAACCCUUCUUCGAAUGCACGAGUUGGGUUGCAACAGGUCACUCACCCUAAGACUGAGUUUCUGCAUAAAAGAAAAUGGAAAAACUUGACGUAGAGGAGAGAGAAAAAACAUUAAUACGAAAGAGAGGACGUAUAUCAGACUGUGAGGAGAGAGAAGAGAGAGAAGAGAAAAGACAGAAAAAGUUGAGAGUGUUACAAUAAGAACAAAGGAUAGAGAGGAAAAAUUGUUCCACGUCAGACAAAGUUAACACCGUUACUGUGAAUUUAACAUAAGGGACCUAUUAAAAGCAAAAUCAGUAACCUGAGAACCAAAUUUAAUCACUUUUAAAAGCGGGUAUCAAACAUAAAUUCAGCCCCUAACUUGGGGACUAAAAAGGUAAUUAAGCCAAGAAAAAGAUGUUUCAAGAAAAAAUAUAUUAUGAAUUUAUAUAUCCCUUCAAGAAUCUAAUAUUAUAAAUGGAUAAG
rnacentral:lncRNA from 1 species